AUUGAACGCUGGCGGCAUGCCUUACACAUGCAAGUCGAACGGCAGCAUAGGAGCUUGCUCCUGAUGGCGAGUGGCGAACGGGUGAGUAAUAUAUCGGAACGUGCCCUAGAGUGGGGGAUAACUAGUCGAAAGACUAGCUAAUACCGCAUACGAUCUACGGAUGAAAGUGGGGGAUCGCAAGGCCUCAUGCUCCUGGAGCGGCCGAUAUCUGAUUAGCUAGUUGGUGGGGUAAAAGCUCACCAAGGCGACGAUCAGUAGCUGGUCUGAGAGGACGACCAGCCACACAGGGACUGAGACACGGCCCAGACUCCUACGGGAGGCAGCAGUGGGGAAUUUUGGACAAUGGGGGCAACCCUGAUCCAGCAAUGCCGCGUGAGUGAAGAAGGCCUUCGGGUUGUAAAGCUCUUUUGUCAGGGAAGAAACGGUUCUGGAUAAUACCUGGGACUAAUGACGGUACCUGAAGAAUAAGCACCGGCUAACUACGUGCCAGCCGCCGCAGUAACAC
rnacentral:rRNA from 1 species